CGAUGAGUAGGGCGGGACACGUGGUAUCCUGUCUGAAUAUGGGGGGACCAUCCUCCAAGGCUAAAUACUCCUGACUGACCGAUAGUGAACCAGUACCGUGAGGGAAAGGCGAAAAGAACCCCGGCGAGGGGAGUGAAAAAGAACCUGAAACCGUGUACGUACAAGCAGUGGGAGCCUCUUUAUGGGGUGACUGCGUACCUUUUGUAUAAUGGGUCAGCGACUUAUAUUCUGUAGCAAGGUUAACCGAAUAGGGGAGCCGAAGGGAAACCGAGUCUUAACUGGGCGUUAAGUUGCAGGGUAUAGACCCGAAACCCGGUGAUCUAGCCAUGGGCAGGUUGAAGGUUGGGUAACACUAACUGGAGGACCGAACCGACUAAUGUUGAAAAAUUAGCGGAUGACUUGUGGCUGGGGGUGAAAGGCCAAUCAAACCGGGAGAUAGCUGGUUCUCCCCGAAAGCUAUUUAGGUAGCGCCUCGUGAAUUCAUCUCCGGGGGUAGAGCACUGUUUCGGCAAGGGGGUCAUCCCGACUUACCAACCCGAUGCAAACUGCGAAUACCGGAGAAUGUUAUCACGGGAGACACACGGCGGGUGCUAACGUCCGUCGUGAAGAGGGAAACAACCCAGACCGCCAGCUAAGGUCCCAAAGUCAUGGUUAAGUGGGAAACGAUGUGGGAAGGCCCAGACAGCCAGGAUGUUGGCUUAGAAGCAGCCAUCAUUUAAAGAAAGCGUAAUAGCUCACUGGUCGAGUCGGCCUGCGCGGAAGAUGUAACGGGGCUAAACCAUGCACCGAAGCUGCGGCAGCGACACUAUGUGUUGUUGGGUAGGGGAGCGUUCUGUAAGCC
rnacentral:rRNA from 1 species